rnacentral:lncRNA from 12 species
AUGCCUCCAGGACUCCGGGCCGUGGACUCUGGACCCCACGAAGUUUACCAACAUCCCCAAACUACAUCAGCUGGCCGGGAAGUAAUGCAUGGUCGGGGGUUGGGGACCGUGCUCACGAAGGCCCUGAGUGGCCUUCAGGACGGGUCAUUCCAGGUUGGCACCAGUCCGGUCUCGCAACGACGGCCAGUGACCACUUGGGAUCACUCCCGGGGCCGUCAGGAGGCGCCGCCGCUACAGGGAGGGGGAGACCGGGGGCAGGCUGGGCUGGUUCCCAGGUCCUGGCGCCCCAGCCGCUGCGGGUGGCCGGCCAUCUCCGACGCUUCCUGUCUGGCAGAAACUUGCUCCUUCUCCCCUUGCGGGAACGGUCUCAGGCUCCCGGGAUUCGGGCCCGUCCGCGGUGAGGUCGGAGGAGCCUCUCCCGACACGGAGCCUCUCUCUCAGUGCCGCCUGUCCCGUGAGCCCUGUCUGCACCGGGGUCACCCCCGCCAACCACCAAUGGCUCCAGGUGACCCUCUGGUCUCUAGUCUGUUUCUGGCGGCUGGACACAGGUGUGAGGGACGCCUCCCCACGCGACUUCCUUGCCCUGACCUCGAGGCAAAUCAAGCAUUUCGCAAAAGCUCAACAGAAAGGACAAAGAAAAGCCUCUUCAUAGAGCAACCCCUCUGCGGCCUGGCCGCCCAAGUGGGAGAGGGCGGAGGGACCCCACGGGCCAGGACAGGGCCACAAAGACGGGCCUGUCCCCAGGACAGUCGGGCCCUGUUUGUGGGGAUGUUUGCUGGCAGCACAGCUGGGCUCGGACGCUGGGUGGGCGGCUCAGCACCCCCAGGCUCCCGGCUCCCCGCAACCUGAGACCCUCUGCGUCCCCACUGCCCCUGGGCUGGCCGCACGGAGCCGUGCAUGCAGGUGACUGGUUAGGGACACAAAUCAAGCCAAACUACACUCGAGGCCAGGUCCUCCCCUGCUCCGGGCAGGUGGCCCGGCCCCUCUGUGCCUUGUUCUUCACGCAAGCCCGCUUUCUGGGCACCGGGCCCCCGGGGAUGCCCAGGAGGGUGGGGCUCAGUCAUCCCCCACUCUGGCGGCCUUGGACCGCGAUGCCCUGAGGACAGAGAGCAAGGUGACUCCUCACACCUACCCUGUGGCUGUGUGACUCACUUGCAUCCCAGAAGUGGUGGGGAAGCCCUCCCAGGAGCCCAGAGGCCCCGCAGGCUGGUGGGCCUGGAGCCUCUCGGGCGCAGGGCUGCAGGGGGCUAGGGAGCCGGGGCCUGGGGUCGUGGAGAUGAGGCCCCCCACAAGCUGUCCAGGAAGCAGAGGGGACAGAGAGCGAUGGGGCAGGCGGUGGUCUGUGGACAGUGGGCAGAGGGAGUGAGAGGCGUGCAAGGAAACAGGUGUAGGUCCUGGGGCUCCCGAGAGGUAAGCGACUCAGCCAGAAGCUAGUGACCCCAAAGCCCAGGCCAUCCUGGCGAAGGCAGGGCCAACCUUGGUCUCCCAGCCUGGGGCUUGGGGAGGACCUUCCUCUCCUGGGGAGAGAAGGCCAUGGUGGUCAAGGCUGGGAGGUGGCCAGAGGGCACGACACACCCAGCUCCCCCUGACCGAGCCCUGCUGGAUGGACUGCCCCCACGUGGUCGGGGCUCUGAGGCCUGGGGCUGGGCCAGGCUCAGGGGCCACCAGCUGACAGACGGCCCUGUCCACCCCCAACCCCCAAGGCACAGCCUUGCACUGAGUGCCCCGUGGUUGCCCCUGCCGGUCACACGGAGACCCCAGGAAUGAGCCCCCCACAGAGCCUCAGCCAGGGUUGGUCCACGGGCUGCUGGGGGGCGGUGGGGGACACAGAUCAACAGGCCCGGUCUGG